GAUGAACGCUGGCGGCAGGCCUAAUACAUGCAAGUCGAACGGACAUUGGUUUUCGGAUCAAUGUUAGUGGCGCACGGGUGCGUAACGCGUACACAACAUACCCUUGACUGGGGGAUAGCGGUGGGAAACUGCCAGUAAUACCCCAUGCCCUUGCGGGGCGGCAUUGCCCUGCAAGGAAAGUUACGGCGGUCAAGGAUUGGUGUGCGUCCGAUUAGCUAGUUGGCGGGGUAACGGCCCACCAAGGCGACGAUCGGUAGGGGGUGUGAGAGCAUGGCCCCCCACACGGGUACUGAGACACGGACCCGACUCCUACGGGAGGCAGCAGUAAGGAAUAUUGGACAAUGGUCGGAAGACUGAUCCAGCUAUGCCGCGUGAAGGAAGAAGGCGCUCAGCGUUGUAAACUUCUUUUGGACGGGAAUAACAACUUUCACGAGAUGAGAGCCUGAAUGUACCGUCAGAAUAAGCACCGGCUAACUCCGUGCCAGCAGCCGCGGUAAUACGGAGGGUGCGAGCGUUAUCCGGAAUCACUGGGUUUAAAGGGUGCGUAGGCGGUUUGAUAAGUCAGUUGUGAAAUACCCCGGCUUAACCGGCGGUCGUGCGAUUGAUACUGUUGAACUUGAACCGGGUUGAGGCAGGCGGAAUGUGGCAUGUAGCGGUGAAAUGCAUAGAUAUGCCAUAGAACACCAAUUGCGAAGGCAGCUUGCUGGGCCCGUAUUGACGCUGAGGCACGAAAGCGUGGGG
rnacentral:rRNA from 1 species